rnacentral:rRNA from 1 species
AGGAAUAUUGGUCAAUGGACGCAAGUCUGAACCAGCCAUGCCGCGUGAAGGAUGUAGGUCCUCUGGAUUGUAAACUUCUUUUAUCUGGGACGAAAACGGGAUUUUUAUCUCAAUUGACGGUACCAGAGGAAUAAGCACCGGCUAACUCCGUGCCAGCAGCCGCGGUAAUACGGAGGGUGCGAGCGUUAUCCGGAUUUACUGGGUUUAAAGGGUGCGUAGGUGGGCUUAUAAGUCAGUGGUGAAAUCUCCGAGCUUAACUUGGAAACGGCCGUUGAUACUAUAGGUCUUGAAUUAUCUGGAGGUAAGCGGAAUAUGUCAUGUAGCGGUGAAAUGCUUAGAUAUGACAUAGAACACCUGUUGCGAAGGCAGCUUACUACAUAUAAAUUGACGCUGAGGCACGAAAGCGUGGGGAUCAAACA